rnacentral:siRNA from 1 species
CAAAGAAAAACUACCUCACUGA